rnacentral:lncRNA from 1 species
CUUGUGGAAACGGCCCGCCGCAGGGUUGGCAGGCUUGAGAAGCUGCGAAUAUGGCGGAGUGAGGCGUGCCUCUGUGAACUGGCCUCUGGGCCUGGGGCAGGCCAGUCCGGCCAGCCCCCGGGAGGCCGAGUGCAUUUAUUGGACCGUGCGAGAUUCCUUAUCACAGGAAGAACAUUUUCCUUGACAUUUGGGUGCUUUUACAUUCAUCUCAAAAACAAAAUUCUGAACUCAGGACUUGGCAAAUGGAGUCUUGCUCUGUCGCCCAGGCGGGAGUACAGUGGCACAAUUUGGCUCACUGCAACCUCUGCCUCCCAGGUUCAAGCGAUUCUCCUGCCUCAGCCUCCUGAAUAGCUGGGAUUACAGGCGUGCCACCAUGCCUGACUAAUAUUUUGUAUUUUUAGUAGAGAUGGGGUUUCACUGUGUUGGUCAGGCUGGUCUCGAACUCCUGACCUGGUGAUCCACCUGCCUCGGCCUCCCAAAGUGCUGGGAUUACAGGUGUGAGCCACUGCCCCCAGCCUAUUCUUUUGUUUUGUUUUUGUGGCAACAGCUGAAAUCUCAUUUAGCAGGGAUCCUGUUUACAGUACAAUUUUGUUACCUAUAGUUGUCAUAUUGUACAUUAGAUCAUUAGACUUGUUCAUCCUACAUAACUGUUCCUUUUUGUCCUCUGACCUUUAUCUCUUCAUUUUCUAACUCCUUCAUUAAUUUUUGUUCUCUAUCUCUGUAUAUAUAUUUUUUAAAAUUGCACAUGUAAAUGAAAUAGUGCAAUAUUUUUUUCUUUUCUUUUUUUUCCCCUCCCCCUUCCCUGUGCAAUAUUUUUCUCUCUGUCCUCCUGACUCAUCUGCGUUGUAACAAAUGGCAAAAUCUCUUUUUUUUUUAGACAGUCUUGCUCUGUCACCCAGACUGGAGUGCAGUGGCGCCAUCUCGGCUCACUGCAACCUCUGCCUCCUUAGUUCAAUUGCACAAGCGAUUCUUGUGCCACAGCCUCCCGAGUAGCCAGGAUUACAGGUGUGUGUCACCUUGCUUAGCUAAUUUUUGUAUUUUUUUAGUAGAGACAGGGUUUCACCAUGUUGGCCAGGCUGGUCUCCUCACCUCACCCCAAAGUGCUGGGAUUACAGGUGUAAGCCACUGCGCCUGCCAAGAUCUUUCUUUUUUAGGGCUGAGUAACAUAUUCCAUCAUAUAUACACACUAUAGUUUCUACAGUUUAUUCAUUCAUGCAUUGAUGGACAGUUAGGUUAUUUCUAUAUCUUGGCUAUUGUGAAUAAUGUUCCAUUGAACAUAGGAGUGCAGACAUCUUUAUGAGGUGGUGAUUUCAUAUCAUUUUGUUGUAUGCCCAGAAGAGGGAGUGAUCGGUUAUGUGGUGGUUCUAUUUUUAAUUUCUUUAGAAACUUCCAUACUGUUUUCCAUAGUGACUGUUCUAGUCUACACUCCAAGCCACGAACAGUGAACAAUAGUUAAUUUUUUUCUACACCUGGGCAAAUUUUAGAAUAUCACCAUUAUAUUUAUUUAAAUUUUAAUUAUAGGGAAAUAUUGAUAUUUUCAUCUUUAAUUUCUUUUUUUUUCUUCUUUUUUGGGACAGAGUUUCACUCUGUCACCCAGACUAGAGUGCAGUGCCAGGAUCUCGGCUCACUGCAACCUCCACCUCCCGGGUUCAAGCGAUUCUCAGCCUCUUGAAUAUCUGGGAUUACAGAUGCGCACCACGCCCGGCUAAUUUUUGUAUUUUUAGUAGAGACGGGGUUUCACCAUGUUGAUCAAGGCUGGUCUCACUCCUGACCUCAUGAUCUGCCCACCUUGGCCUCUCAAAGUGCUGGGAUUACAGGUGUGAACCAGCACACCCCGCCCCCCCUCGCCUUUUUUUUUUUUUUUUUUUUUUUUUUUUUAAGAGAGGGGGUCUUGCUUGUGUUGCCCAGGCUGGUCUUAGAACCCUGGGCUCAAGCAAGUUCCCCACCUUCGGCCUCAAAGUGUUGAGAUUAUAGGCGUGAGCCACCAUGCUUGACCUUUAUCUUUAAUUUCUGAAACCUUAAGUACACUUUAAUAAUUCUGGUAGGUGGCUAUUGGUUGGCCAAGGGUUGUGACAUCUACGAAUUUACCACAAAAGUAAA